ensembl:lncRNA
UUUUUUUUUUUUUACUCACUCAAACUACCUAUUUAAGUGGGUCCUGUGGGGGACUCUGCUUGUUACAGUCACUUAGAAACCCUGGUGGAUGAGGGUUCGUGUCUCUAAGGUUGCAGAGGCAGGAAAAGGGGAGUGUGGUGAUUUGGAAACUAACCCUUAACAACUUCUGCCUAGAAAUGACAAGGUCCACUUACUCACAUUUCUGGAGCUAAAAGCUGGUCACAGAGCUAAAUCUAUCUGGUGGGGGCAGGGGGAGGCAAAGGGUUUAAGCCUACUACUCCAGACAGAAGAAAAGAACUGGAACAUUCGUGAAAAGCUCUGGUGAUUUCUACGCCUCUAAGUUCUCUCCACUUCAUCUUAUUAAAGACUCAGUAGAAUGACACUGAGAAAAAAAGAAAAAUGGAGAGGUCUCACCUUCAUUUAAGGUGAAAAAUACAGAACUACAAGUACAGCAUAGAGUCGAUCUGAUACAGCAGCAGAAGGUAUAAAAACACUGAAGACUUAUGAGAGUAGAACAUCUCAAUGAACUUAGGGAAUAAAGUUGCAUAAAUAGGUUUAUUACUAGCAUUACGAAAUCAUGAUUCAGGCUGGCCAAUAGUAAGUCCCCACAUUUUCAAUCUAAGUCUCCCGUCAAAACUUUUUUCCUGAGCUCCUGGCCUCUUCAUCUAACUGAAUACUAGACAUCUCCACUUGGGUGACUAAAGUACUCAGAACUCAUCAUUCCAAAAGUGAACUUAUUAAUUUUCUAUCCUUAAAAUAUAACUCAGGGAUAUUCUUGCAAUUGCAACUGACACAGCUCUAGCCAAGGCCCCAAGUUAGAAACCUCAGAUUCAUGGUGUUCUCUUCUCUCUUCUCCUCUCUGCUUCAGACAGCUGACUACCAGCUCACUUGAUCUUUGCUCAGCAACAUUGCUCCCUGGCCUAAAUCGUAGUUCCUCUCAGCUAUUUUCAGAGCUAUUGCCUUAGCCUCUUACCUGAUCUCCCUACCUUCAGUCUGGUCUGCUCCAAAUCAUCCUUCUGCAUCCUUCUGCUAGAGUAAUCUUUCUAAGAUGUGUCUUAAAAUCUGGUUUCCCUACUUAAAAGCUGUUGACUGGCCUUAUAACACCCAUUGAAAAAAGUUCAAGCCCAAUUGUGUGAAACUCACAAUUUGGGUCGUGUAUUUCUAGCUUCAUCUUCUGCCCUUCAACCCAUGCUUCAUAAGCAUAAAGCUACCAGUCAUUCAAACAGUCUACCAUUCCAUGACUCUGUGCCGUUGUCUGUGUAGGUCUCUCCCUGCAUGAGCACUUGCCCCUUUACAAUUUGGUGAAUUUCCAUUUGACUUUUUUAAGCUCCAACUCAAAUAUCACUUUUCUCAAUUACACUUCUCUCUUGAAACACUUCUAUUAUUAUCCUUAUCACACUAUAUUGGAAUUAUUCCUUUACAAGUCUAUCUCCUCUGCCAGACUACAUGCUCGGGUAGGAAUUAAUUGUCCUAGAACUUAACAUCAGCCCUAAAGUUUUGAAAGAAUUGGGAUAGAGAUGAGCUGGAGAAUGAAACGCUAAUUGGAUGGAACUAAUGGUGAGGUUUGCAAACAGUACUUCUGAGUUAAAAAUUUUAGAAGCUAAGUAAAUUGUGAGACUGUCAUUGGCAAAAUAAAGAAUUAAGAUAUAAAAAGUAAAAGGUGAUUAUAAGCAGUAUUAGUAAAUAAAAUGUUACUGACACUUUUACUAAUUAGAAUUCUUUAAUGAUUAAUGAUGUAAGAACAUAAACUUAAGGGUAAGGGAUAUCAGGAAGCAGAGAAUGGUUCUAAAAGAAGGUCACAGUGAACUACUGGCCUUGGUCAGGUGGCUUUCAAACUCUGCUGAUCCUUUUCAAGACAACACCUACCAAACCCUUUUAUGAAAAUCUCAGGUAGCAAAGAGCCCCAAAUAUUAACAUCACACCUGACUGCAUGCUCUCUGAAGAAUUUUAAUUUAGCACAAGGGAAAGUGUUUCCCUUGAGAGCUAUUCUGGCAUUUUAUACCCACUUAUUGCAACUGAUAAUAAGUGCAACAUGCUUUUAAUAAAACACUCCAUAAACGUGGGAGGGGUGUGUUUCAUUACCCUGGUGAUAAUUCUGCUUGUUUCCCUUCAGAGAAGAGAGGCUCUGAACCCCGCUGAGCUGAUAAAAUAGGCUCGAUGAAUCCCUAUAGCGAGAGUAACAUUAGCAGUGGGAUUGCACAGAUUUCCUAUCGCCAAAGCCUGGGUAGCAUUUCAUUACUGAAGUUGUCUGAUUGCUUUGGUUCAAACCUUUCCCCCAAAUCCUUUCGUUCUCUAUUUAAAAUCACUACAACAAACACAUGAAACAAUAACACAACAAGUAGCAGCGUGGGCUGAGGCCCUCAUCACAAACAACAGCUGCACAAACUUGCAGUCAAAACACUUAUUUUUGAGGGUAACACAAACAAAGCCUACCAUGAUUCCCCCUAACCUGUCAAGACCAAGAGCAGUGAGCACUGCAUGCCCUGGAUCUUUGUGCUUAUGCUGGUAAAAUGUAUCCAGAAUCCAGGAGAAAUUUCUGAAAUCAGAGUGCCCAGCCAUUCUGCUUAUUAUGGAAACCUAUCGUUCUGUAUUCAUUUGCUGCCAAGUUAUUAUUUCCUUGGCUGCAUGUAGAGCCACUCUAGAUUUCCCUUCUCCCAAAAUAGAACUUCUCAGAUGCUCUUAGAGCUGCUUCAUAUGAAAGUAAAUGGCAGGAAGUGCUUCUAGCUCAUAUAAAACUUCUCCAUUCAUUAAAUUUGUACCUUCUCCCAUUAUUAAAAGACUUUCUUAAUUUCCCUGUCUAUACUUCUCUCAUAAAAAUCCUUUUUUUAAAUUCAAUGACUUGUUCCAAAGCACUUCAUCAUUCUAUGUUUCAUAAAAAUUUAAUGGUAUCUAAUCUUCUAAGUCCCAUUAAAAUGGCCUAUGUCUAAUGUCAGGUCCAAAUCAGCCUAAGAGUAGACUUAUGCCUGAAGCCUGUAGGUUCUCGCCUACUUGGUCCCUAAAUCAAUGGCUCUCAAAUUUUAACCUACAUGAUAAUCACUUGGGAGUUGUAAAAUAUGCAGCUACCGGAGAUCUGUGCCAGAGCUACUGACUCAGUAAGUCCCGGAUGGGCCAUGAUGGUGUAUGCUGACAAACACCUCCAGGUGAUUCAGUCCCACACACUGAGAACCACCCAAUGAGAACAAAGAGAACAAAUGAGAACACAACCCUGGCACAGGUAUGUUUGCAGCCCCAUCUUCACCAACCCUAAGAUUUGGUAUAUCCUGGUUUGAGUCAGUACACCCAGAAAUCUAUCAAGCUAAUCCCACAUUCUCCACCAUUUUGGCCCUAACUCUGUGUGCAUGGCAGGGCUAACCUAGGAUUCUUGAUUAGUCCUUGUUAAGAACUGGACCUAGAAUCUCAGCAAAAUUUUCUGGGGCUAUGACACUCCACCUAAUUUGCAUCAGGGAGAAUCCUGCUCCAAAUGUCUACCAAAUCCAGAGAGAGUCCCCAGCAGGAUGAAGGCACCACCCUAUAUCUGAAAAAAGAGUGGAAAAACUGGUGAGGUCUACCAUAUCUGAUUCCACUGGAGCCAUGCCAUCCCUCAACUCCUAUAUGUGAGUCUCCAGAUGUCUACAGUAUUUAUGAGGUGACUGGGGGGUAAAACCACAAUGUUUGCCCUGCCCCCACGUGAGAUUUUUUUCUUACUAUAUUUUACUUUGUUUCUAAUGAUGUCACUGGCUAGACUCAGAGUCAUUAUAAGAAAGAUUCCUAUGAAACUCUUUAUUGUAACUACUGUAAUGAUGUUGGCAAGGAUGUUGUUCACUAAUUUACCCAAUUUCCUCUUAAUUUCUCCUUGGGGAGAAAUUAGUGUCUGCUCUUGAUACCAAAAACAGAUUUACCGCUCAUGAGCAAUUGAUUUGUCUUUUAUCUCAUGGGCACUGAAUUUUAUAAGAGAGAAGGCUUCUGUUUUUGCCUUUGACUGCUAGGAAGCAGAGUCUACCUGUAGUAUCAGGCUAUAUGUUUUAAGUAACAUUCCCAGCAACACUGACCCCAGUAUGAAUUUUCUAUUUUCUUUCAUUCAAAUAUUCUCUUGUUCUAUUUCUCAUAUCUCUUGUAGGAUGCCUUAAUUUUUUUAAUGGAAUGAAAUAGAACUGACGCCUUCCUGUCUUGCCCAUCUGGACCUAAGACAACAAGAUAACUCAAAUGCUAAGGAUGACAAAUGCUCCUAUCAAUAAGCAUGUAUUAUAUAUCUGCCUGAUGCUCAGAAAAACUGCAACUCAUCUGAAGGAUUAUAAAGUAAGACAAAGUGCUUGCCCUUAAGGUACUGACAGUGCAGCUGGGGAAAGAAGCCUGGAACACACAGAACCAGAGAACAAAGUGCAAGCGGAAAAUGUUAGGAACAAGGUGGCACUGAUGGUUAAUAUUGCAAGAGUUCAGGGAUGAAGGAAAUCUGACGGCAAGAAGAAUUAGGCAUUUUCCAAAAGAAAUCGGACUUGAACUAGCACCUAGGUUAUAGAGAGAAUUUAAGAUUUUAGGUUAAUAGCAGUUCCCGUCGUGGUGCAGUGGUUAACGAAUCUGACUAGGAACCAUGAGGCUGCGGGUUCGGUCCCUGCCCUUGCUCAGUGGGUUAACGAUCUGGUGUUGCCGUGAGCUGUGGGGUAGGCUGCAGACGCGGCUCGGAUCCCGAGUUGCUGUGGCUCUGGCGUAGGCCGGUGGCUACAGCUCCGAUUCGACCCCUAGCCUGGGAACCUCCAUAUGCCACGGGAGCAGCCCAAAGAAAUAGCAAAAAGACCAAAAAAAAAAAAAAGAUUUUAUGUUAAUAGAACAGAAGGAGGAACAUUCUGGGCCAAAUGAAGUAUGGCAUCUGGAGUAGAGGACGGAAUGGAGAGCAUAGUACAGAGCACAGCAAGGAGUACAGGCACAAUGAACAGAAGAGAAAGUUGAGGUGAAACAGACAUAAACUUGGGUCCUGGCUUGACAUAGCUAAAGCCCUUUGCCUCUCAGACUCCUUCUCCUGAUUUGUAAAUCAGGAUAGUGUAGUCUAUGACGAGUCGCACUUUGAUAAAAAAUAAAUAAAGAUAAAUUGUAACACAGCUCUACAGUGCCUAGCACAUGAUAAGCACUGAAACUCGGCCAUUUCCAAUGAUGAGAAGUCUGGAGGUGAGGUUUAGCAUCUCCGGCAUGUAGAUUCCUUGCCUCCUACAGCAGCUGCUACAUCCUGAGAAGUGGCAAACAUAAUGACAUAGGGGACAAAUGGUGGGUGGUCUUGUAAGUUACUUUGGACUUGACAGAGGAGGAACAAAUAAGCUAUUUAGAGUCACUGAACAGGGCAGUGACAUGAUGAAAGCAGUGUUUAAAGAAGAUUAAUGCGGUCAUAGAGGAAGGGAAUGAAGAAGAAAAUACUGCAGGCCUGGACACUAACUAGAAGGCUGUUGUGAUAAUAGGCAUAGUGACAAAGGACAGGAUGAGGGAGGUGGCAGAGGACUGCAAAGGGGAGGCUUGGAAACACUUUAAAGAAAAUAUUUCUUUACUUUCUUUAGAAAGGAUUUUUGUGACUGACUAUACAGGGGAGAUGAAUGAGUCAAAGGUCAAAUCUGAUCAUAGUAAUUGUUCUACAAAUUGCCUGUUGUUUGUCUUUAUCUCCCACCAGAUUCUGAAAGCAACAUUUCUAUCUUGCUUACCAGUGUCUAGCACGGUAUUUCAAGCACAGAAGAUAAUCAUGAUAUUUUAAAAUGCAUUUUAUUAAUGAAUAAUUAAUUCAUGAAUAAAUUUUAUUCGUGGAAAAUAAACUGAAUGAAAAAAUAAAUGACAUCAAUGACUGUCACAAAUAAAAAGCGUGAACAUGCAUUGAACACUUUCUACCGAGCAUUUUGUAAGACUUUUUACAUUCAAUACCUUGUUACAAUCCUAACAAAAGUCCUAUAGAGUAGAUACUGUUUUUAUCUGCAUUUAAAAUGAAGCACAGCAGGUUCAGGCAAUUUACCUAGGGUUACUUAACUAGGAAAAUGACAGGGCCAGGUUUCAAAACUGCCUAUGCCUUCUGAUGCCAAAGCCUAUGCGCUUACUUGGGAAAAUAGGAAUGGGCCUUGGAAAAAAAAAAGUCCUGUCAAAAGAAAAGCAGAAGUAAUGGAAACCAGUUAACUUUUACACACCUUGCACUUCAUAAAUAUUUACUCUUCAGGUCACUACAAGUAGCUAUUCAGUUAGGUUUAAGUUAAUCCUACUAUUUAUAAGCAAGGUCCCUAGAAAGAAAAAAAGGGGGCCUCUCUGUUCUCAAGGACAAGAAAAUUGAGCAGAGGAGAGAGUAACAAAGAAAACAAGCGAAAAAACAACAGUAAAAGAUAAACUGCAAAGCUGCACUUGAUUAAGUGUGCAAGGAAGGUGCAGUUAGUAAAUGUUAGGAUUUGGGAAGUGAAAGUGAAUGCUACCAUGCUCCU